rnacentral:rRNA from 1 species
GAGUUUGAUCCUGGCUCAGAUUGAACGCUGGCGGCAGGCCUAACACAUGCAAGUCGAACGGUAGCACAGAGAGCUUGCUCUCGGGUGACGAGUGGCGGACGGGUGAGUAAUGUCUGGGAAACUGCCUGAUGGAGGGGGAUAACUACUGGAAACGGUAGCUAAUACCGCAUAACCUCGAAAGAGCAAAGUGGGGGACCUUCGGGCCUCACGCUGUCGGAUGUGCCCAGAUGGGAUUAGCUAGUAGGUGGGGUAAUGGCUCACCUAGGCGACGAUCCCUAGCUGGUCUGAGAGGAUGACCAGCCACACUGGAACUGAGACACGGUCCAGACUCCUACGGGAGGCAGCAGUGGGGAAUAUUGCACAAUGGGCGCAAGCCUGAUGCAGCCAUGCCGCGUGUAUGAAGAAGGCCUUCGGGUUGUAAAGUACUUUCAGCGGGGAGGAAGGCGAUAAGGUUAAUAACCUUGUCGAUUGACGUUACCCGCAGAAGAAGCACCGGCUAACUCCGUGCCAGCAGCCGCGGUAAU